AGUGAACGCUGGCGGUAGGCCUAACACAUGCAAGUCGAACGGCAGCACCGUAAGAGCUUGCUCUUACGGGUGGCGAGUGGCGGACGGGUGAGGAAUACAUCGGAAUCUACUUUUUCGUGGGGGAUAACGUAGGGAAACUUACGCUAAUACCGCAUACGACCUACGGGUGAAAGCAGGGGAUCUUCGGACCUUGCGCGAUUGAAUGAGCCGAUGUCGGAUUAGCUAGUUGGCGGGGUAAAGGCCCACCAAGGCGACGAUCCGUAGCUGGUAUGAGAGGAUGGUCAGCCACACGGGAACUGAGACACGGUCCAGACUCCGACGGGAGGCAGCAGUGGGGAAUAUUGGACGAUGGGCGCAAGCCUGAUCCAGCCAUACCGCGUGGGUGAAGAAGGCCUUCGGGUUGUAAAGCCCUUUUGUUGGGAAAGAAAAGCAGCAGGUUAAUACCCCGCUGUUCUGACGGUACCCAAAGAAUAAGCACCGGCUAACUUCGUG
rnacentral:rRNA from 1 species